ACUCAAAUGAAUUGACGGGGGCCCGCACAAGCAGUGGAGCAUGUGGUUUAAUUCGAAGCAACGCGAAGAACCUUACCAGGUCUUGACAUCCUCUGACCACUCUAGAGAUAGAGCUUUCCCCUUCGGGGGACAGAGUGACAGGUGGUGCAUGGUUGUCGUCAGCUCGUGUCGUGAGAUGUUGGGUUAAGUCCCGCAACGAGCGCAACCCUUGACCUUAGUUGCCAGCAUUCAGUUGGGCACUCUAAGGUGACUGCCGGUGACAAACCGGAGGAAGGUGGGGAUGACGUCAAAUCAUCAUGCCCCUUAUGACCUGGGCUACACACGUGCUACAAUGGGUGGUACAAAGGGUUGCGAAGCCGCGAGGCCAAGCCAAUCCCAAAAAGCCACUCUCAGUUCGGAUUGUAGGCUGCAACUCGCCUACAUGAAGCCGGAAUUGCUAGUAAUCGCGGAUCAGCAUGCCGCGGUGAAUACGUUCCCGGGCCUUGUACACACCGCCCGU
rnacentral:rRNA from 1 species